UUAUGGUCUUCUGGAAUGCGGUGCCUAUUCCAGGGGCAUAGGAAAUAAAUGUUUUUUCUUAAAUUCCAACAAAUGGAAAAAAAUUAAAAAUCGAUUCAGUACGCGAAUAGAUUGCAACGCUCUAAGAUGCGUUUAGAUGUCGGAAAAUGUUUAAAAUUUGCCGUAUUUCUGGGAAUGGGAAGUGAAGUAUUGGGAGUGAGGUUUUGUUUCUACGAUAAAUGGUCUAUAGCAGAAGGUUAUACUUUUGACCUUUAUUCAGUUUGUAUGCGUUUAAGCUGCUAUGGGGGUAGAAUGAGUGUUUCCAAAUGCCCGAAUCGUCGUCCUCCCCCUGGGAUGGUGUUCGGUAAAUACAAAUACCCACAUGAUGACUUUCCCAAGUGUUGUGAGCGAGAGCUUAAAGAAAGAAAUCCUUAUUUAAAAGGAGGAAGGUUUUAUACACCCGAAUAUUAUUGUUGUACCACCGGAUUUGAUUAAUUUUUUAAUUGAAUAGUUAAAAAAUUCAAUUCUUUUAAUAAAUGGUUCUUGUAUUAAUACA